rnacentral:rRNA from 1 species
AUUGAACGCUGGCGGCAGGCCUAACACAUGCAAGUAGGACGCAGUUGCGAACGGGUGAGUAACGCGUAGGGAACUACCUAUUAGAGGGGGAUAACUAUUGGAAACGAUAGCUAAUACCGCAUACUAGUAGAUGGACCUGCGUUGUAUUAGCUAGUAGGUAGGGUAAUGGCCUAACUAGGCAAAGAUACAUAGCCGACCUGAGAGGUUGAUGGGCCACAUUGGGACGUGGACACGGCCCAGACGCCUACGGGAGGCAGCAGUAGGGACUCUUCGGCAAUGGGUGGAACCCUGACCGAGCAACGCCGCGUGAGUGAAGAAGGUUUUCGGAUCGUAAAGCUCUGUUGUUAAGGAAGCGGUACUUAACCAGAAAGGGACGGCUAACUACGUGCCAGCAGCCGCGGUAAUAC